rnacentral:tRNA from 1 species
AGCCCCGUGGUGAAGACACGUCAGAUUGCAAAUCUGAAGACGUAGGCUUACAGCCUGCCGGGGCUU